UGAUUCUGGCUCAGAUUGAGCACUGGCGGAUGUUUACAGCCACCAAGUCGAACAGCAACUGGACUUCAGGUCUGGUGGCGAGUGGCGAACGGGUGAAGUAAUGUAUCGGAACGUGCCCACAAGUAGCGGGGAUAACUACGCGAAAGCGCCUUCUUCCGCAUACGCCCUUCAGGGAAAAGCAGGGGACCUUCAGGCCUCCGCACUAUUAGAAGCAGCCGAUAUCGGAUUAAGCUAGUUGGUGAGGUGGCGCAGCUCGCAGGCGACGAUCCGUAAGCUGGUUUGAGGGACGACCAGCCACACUGGGACUGAGACACGGCCCAGACUCCUGCAGGCAGCAGUGGGGAAUUUUGGACAAUGGAAACCCUGAUCAGCCAUCCCGCGUGUGCGAUGAAGGCCUUCGGGUUGUAAAGCACUUUGGCAGGAAAGAAACGGCACGGGAUAUUACCCCGUGCAACUGACGAUACCUGCCCAGAAUGGCAGUAACUACGUGCCAGCAGCCGCGGUAAUACGUGAGGUGCAAACUGGGUAAUCGGAAUUACUGGGCGUAAGCGUGCGAGCGGUUCGGAAAAGAAAGAUGUGAAAUCCCGAAGCAACUUUUGGAACUGCAUUUUAACUACCGUGACUAGAAAUGUGUCAGAGGGAGGUGGAAUUCCACGCGAUGUAAGUGAAAUGCGUAGAUAUGCGGAGGAACACCGAUGGCGAAGGCAUCUCCUGGGAUAACACUGACGCUCAUGCACGAAAGCGUGGGAGCAAACAGGAUUAGAUACCCUGGUAGUCCACGCCCUAAGCAGUGUCAACCCAUGGCUGUUGGGCCUUCCGGGCCUUGGUAGCGCAGCUGGCGCGUAGAAGUUGAUGCCUGGGAAGUACAGUCGCGCAAGAAUUAAAACUCGAAGGAAUUGACGGGGACCCGCACAAGCGGUGGAUGAUGUGGAUUAAUUCAGUGCAACGCGAAAAACCUUACCUACCCUUAACCCAUAUCUGGAAUCGGGUGCCCAGGAGUGCUUUCCGCAAGAAGAGAACCGGAACACAGGUGCUGCAUGGCUGUCGUCAGCUCGUGUCGACAGAUGUUGGGUUAAGUCCCGCAACCCGAGCGCAACCCUUGUCAUUAGUUGCUACGAAAGGGCACUCUAAUGAGACUGCCGGUGACAAACCGGAGGAAGGUGGGGAUGACGUCAAGUCCUCAUGGCCCUUAUGGGUAGGGCUUCACACGUCAUACAAUGGUCGGGACAGAGGGUCGCCAACCCGCGAGGGGAGCCAAUCCCAGAAACCCGAUCGUAGUCCAGCGGAUCGCAGUCACAACUCGACUGCGUGAAGUCGGAAUCGCUAGUAAUCGCGGAUCAGCAUGUCGCGGUGAAUACGUUCCCGGGUCUUGUACACACCGCCCGUCACACCAUGGGAGUGGGUUUUUACCAGAAGUAGUUAGCCUAACCAUGGAGGCGGUCACAGUAGGAUUCUGACUGGGGUGAAGUCGUAACAAGGUAG
rnacentral:rRNA from 1 species